rnacentral:lncRNA from 1 species
GUCUGUAGAGUUCUAGAUACAAAUAGAUUACUGAUCCUGAGAACUAGGUCAAAAAAAUAUUUAGGUAUCAAAUGCAAUAAAAUCAACAAGUAAAUUACUAAUAAAUAUAUGUGUACAGAUGUAAAAAAUAUAUUGUAAAUUGUACAAUUCUUAGUUCUGUUUACUUGGUACAAUAAUGAAUAUUAUAAGAUUACACUGUUAUGAAACCACAACUGAAAAGGCAAACAUACAAAUAAAAAUCAAGAAAUCAAGAAAUUUAGAAAUUUGUACAAAAAAAUCUUGUCUUAUUUUGCCAGGAAACAUGGUUUAAAUUGGAUUUUUUUUUAAGUUCAGUGACCUGCAAAAUAUUGGUCAAACCAAAAUUUGGUAUAGAUUCUAAAAAUGUCUCAACAUAAUGAACAUGUGUAUCAAGUUUCCACUUUCAAGUAGAUUUGACCCUAACUUUAUAGGAAACUACCUUUACCAAAACCUGAUAAGGAAUAGAAGAACAAAGGGAUGGAAAAACAGACAGAAACAGAUCAGAAAAUAUAAUGCUCCCUUACUAAUAUAGGCCACACAUAUCAAGAAUGUGUCCAUAGUACAAGAUUGCCCCACUCGCACUAUCAUUUUCUAUGUUCAGUGGACCAUGUCAUUGGGAUAAAAGCUCUAAUUUGGCAUUAAAAUAAGAAAGAUCAUAUCAUAGGGAACAUACUAAGUGUCAUGUUGAUUGGACUUCAACUUCAUCAAAAACUACCUUGACCAAAAACUUUAACCUGAAGCAGGACAGACAGACGGACGGACAUACAAACAGACCCACAGACCAGAAAACAUAAUGCCCCUCAACUAUCGUAGGUUGGGAACAAAAAAUAACAUUGAUUUCUAUAGAUAUAUGUAUGUUUGACAGCAUUUGUAACACUUUUUAACCCAUGCAAGUAGUACCAAAAAAAAAGCGGAAGAUAUCAAAGGCAAGUCAAA